GGGUGCGAUCAUACCAACAUUAAUGCACCAGAUCCCAUCAGAACUCCGUAGUUAAGCACACUUGGGCUAGAGUAGUACUAGGAUGGGUGACCUCUCAGGAAGUCCUAGUGUUGCACCCU
rnacentral:rRNA from 1 species